rnacentral:rRNA from 1 species
ACUAAAGUUGUUGCAGUUAAAAAGCUCGUAGUUGGAUUUCAUGCGGGGUUCACGGUGUGUGGUGGGGGUGAGACACUGUUUCGCCUCCACCUUGCACUGUUUGGGCUCUGCAGUUUUAAUAUUCCCUGGUGGCGCCUUUGGCGCGUGCCCUUGAUUGGGUGUGUGUCAAGUCACGUAGUGGUGGGGCGCUGUUGGGGGCUUUACUUUGAAAAAAUUAGAGUGUUCAAAGCAGGCAGUCAUUUGAUUUGCUUGAAUAGAUUAGCAUGGAACAACGGAAGAGGACUUUUGGGCCUGUACUGUUGGCGUGUGGUGCGGGGGUGUGGAGUGAGAAACCGCAAGGUUUUCUUAUUCCACCCUCACCACAUCGGGUCUGAAGUAAUGAUUAAUAGGGACGGUUGGGGGCACUGGUAUUUCGUUGUCAGAGGUGAAAUUCUUGGAUUUACGAAAGACCGCCGACUGCGAAAGCAUUUGCCAAGGACGCUUUCAUUGAUCAAGAACGAAAGUUAGGGGAUCGAAGACGAUUAGAUACCGUCGUAGUCUUAACCAUAAACGAUGCCGGCCAGGGCUCGGUGGGCAGCACAAACUUUUCUCAAGUGGAGGCGCCAUCGGGACCUUUAGGGAAACCAAAGCGUUUGGGUUCCGGGGGGAGUAUGAUCGCAAGAUUGAAACUUAAAGGAAUUGACGGAAGGGCACCACCAGGAGUGGAGCCUGCGGCUUAAUUUGACUCAACACGGGGAAACUCACCAGGUCCAGACAUGGGAAGGAUUGACAGAUUGACAGCUCUUUCUUGAUUCCAAGGGAGGUGGUGCAUGGCCGUCCAGCUUUUGUUGUGAAAUCUCUGUUUGAUUACGGUAAACGGCGAGACCUUGACUUGCUGAUUGGUGUGCGCCUGCGUUAGCAGGCGUUGGAGAUUACGCGCAAGCGUGUCUUUUGAUACACCACUCAGAGGGACACUCGGCGUUGCUAUUGAGCGUAAGCCGAAGGAAGUUUGAGGCGAUAACAGGUCUGUGAUGCCCUUAGAUGUUCUGGGCUGCACGCGCGCUACACUGACGGGGGCAGCGAGUAUGCUUUGGGUGUUUGUGGUGGGGAAAGUCUUGUGCUUUUCUACGACAGACAUCUAUUCCUGCGCUGGAAGGCGUGGGGACUCUUGUGAAAACCCGUCGUGCUGGGGAUAGAUGCUUGCAAUUAUUCAUCUUGAACGAGGAAUUCCUAGUAAGCGCAAUUCAACAGAUUGCGUUGAUUACGUCCCUGCCCUUUGUACACACCGCCCGUCGCUACUACCGAUUGAAUGGUUUAGUGAGGCCUCGGGAUUGGCGCGUGGGCGCUGGCAACAGCUGCCCAUGUCAUCUUUUGCUGAGAACCUGGUCAAACUUGAUCAUUUAGAGGAAGUAAAAGUCGUAACAAGGUUUCCGUAGGUGAACCUGCGGAAGG